CAAAUAAAUCUCUUUUAAAAGAACUUUAGUGAAUAGGUCUCAUUAGCAGUACACACAUGCAUAGUGAGAGUAGUACCAGCAGGAUUCUGAGUCCCCGGACCGAAGCACCUUGAGGGUCUGGGAAACUGUGUUGCCUUGGGACAGUACUGGAGCACGUGGACCAGGGGGCGGGAACAGUCCCCUCUGCGGUUUUCUAUUGGAGAAGACGAAAAGAGAUUGCAUGCCAAUUGGUUGGGAGAGGUAGCGGCUGGGGAGAGGCGAGGCCGCUGCAGGAUCAAGACUCUGCUCUUCUCUGUCGCCAAGGCUGGCAGAAACUGGUGCUCGGCCUCGUCUUCCUGGUCUUUCCAGGUCGGGCUGACGGCGCUGCUGCCCAACCUGCUGGUGUUCAGAAAGGCCUGGGGCCCAGGGCCCGAGCUCACCCACAGUGCAGGGUGUCCUGUUUGGCGUCCAUGUGACUGGUGAGAGCGAGGAGCAACCAGAGACCUGGUGGCAGUUGCAGUGUUAGGGUCCGUUUAGGGGUCCAAAGGAACAGAACAGACGAUGCAAUCUGCACAGAGAGGGAAUGUGCUCCUGGCACUCUGGACAGUGGAACUGAACCAGCUAAGUGACAUCAUUAUCCUAGUGGUGAAAUGCAGCCUGGAAAUACAGGAGAAGUUUGGAGUCUGCCAUACCAGGGAAGACCAGGAUCUUCAGAUAAUGAUAGUAUCUCUGAGAAAUGCUGUGGCUUUGGAUCCAGACCCCAGACUUGAGCAAAACUUGUAGAAGCACAUAAUGGGAAACUUUCUAAAGGUUUGCACUUUCUUCAGUGUGUUUGGCUU
rnacentral:lncRNA from 1 species